UACGUAGAUCCCGAGCGUUGUCCGGAUUUAUUGGGCGUAAAGCGAGCGCAGGUGGUUUAUUAAGUCUGGUGUAAAAGGCAGUGGCUCAACCAUUGUAUGCAUUGGAAACUGGUAGACUUGAGUGCAGGAGAGGAGAGUGGAAUUCCAUGUGUAGCGGUGAAAUGCGUAGAUAUAUGGAGGAACAUCGGUGGCGAAAGCGGCUCUCUGGCCUGUAACUGACGCUGAGGCUCGAAAGCGUGGGGAGCAAACAGG
rnacentral:rRNA from 1 species